rnacentral:rRNA from 1 species
GGAGUCACGCCAGAAAUCUUACCCGGAGAGACAGCAGAAUGAAGGUCAAGCUGAAGACUUUACCAGACAAGCUGAGAGGUGGUGCAUGGCCGUCGCCAGCUCGUGCCGUGAGAUGUCCUGUUAAGUCAGGUAACGAGCGAGAUCCCUGCCACUAGUUGCUAUCAUUAUUCUCAGGAAUAGUGGGCGAAUUAGUGGGACUGCCGUUGUUAAAACGGAGGAAGGAAGGGGCCACGGCAGGUCAGUAUGCCCCGAAACUCUGGGGCCACACGCGGGCUGCAAUGGUAGCGACAAUGAGUUCCAAACUCGAAAGAGAGUGGCAAUCUCUAAACGCUAGCACAGUUAUGACUGAGGGCUGUAACUCGCCCUCACGAAUAUGGAAUCCCUAGUAACCGCGUGUCAUUACCGCGCGGUGAAUACGUCCCUGCUCCUUGCACACACCGCCCGUCGCUUCAUCGAAGUUUGCUUUUAGUGAGGUGAUGUUUAAUUGACAUUAUCGAACUUGAGGUAAGUGACGAGGGAAAAGUCGUAACAAGGUGUCCGUAGGGGAACCUGCGGACGGAUCA